rnacentral:rRNA from 1 species
UACAGAGGUCUCAAGCGUUGUUCGGAUUCAUUGGGCGUAAAGGGUGCGUAGGCGGCGCGGUAAGUCGGGUGUGAAAUCUUGGAGCUUAACUCCGAAACUGCAUUCGAUACUGCCGUGCUUGAGGACUGGAGAGGAGACUGGAAUUUACGGUGUAGAGGUGAAAUGCGUAGAUAUCGUAAGGAAGACCAGUGGCGAAGGCGGGUCUCUGGACAGUUCCUGACGCUGAGGCACGAAGGUCAGGGGAGCAAACGGG